rnacentral:rRNA from 1 species
UACCAGCACCCCGAGUGGUCGGGACGAUUAUUGGGCCUAAAGCAUCCGUAGCCGGUCCUGCAAGUCUUCCGUUAAAUCCAGCUGCUUAACAGAUGGGCUGCGGAGGAUACUACAAGGCUAGGAGGCGGGAGAGGCAAGCGGUACUCAGUGGGUAGGGGUAAAAUCCUCUGAUCCAUUGAAGACCACCAGUGGCGAAGGCGGCUUGCCAGAACGCGCUCGACGGUGAGGGAUGAAAGCUGGGGGAGCAAACCGG